GAUGAACGCUGGCGGCGUGCUUAACACAUGCAAGUCGAACGGAAAGGCCCUGCUUGCAGGGUACUCGAGUGGCGAACGGGUGAGUAACACGUGGGUGAUCUGCCCUGUACUUUGGGAUAAGCCUGGGAAACUGGGUCUAAUACCGAAUAUGACCACUUCUGGGAUGGGGCGGUGGAAAGCUUUUGCGGUAUGGGAUGAGCUCGCGGCCUAUCAGCUUGUUGGUGGGGUAAUGGCCUACCAAGGCGUCGACGGGUAGCCGGCCUGAGAGGGUGUACGGCCACAUUGGGACUGAGAUACGGCCCAGACUCCUACGGGAGGCAGCAGUGGGGAAUAUUGCACAAUGGGCGCAAGCCUGAUGCAGCGACGCCGCGUGGGGGAUGACGGCCUUCGGGUUGUAAACUCCUUUCGCAACCGACGAAGCUUUUGUGACGGUAGGUUGAGAAGAAGCACCGGCUAACUACGUGCCAGCCGCCGCGGUAA
rnacentral:rRNA from 1 species